UACGGGGGGGCAAGCGUUGUUCGGAAUUACUGGGCGUAAAGGGCUCGUAGGCGGCCAACUAAGUCGGAUGUGAAAUCCCCAGGCUCAACCUGGGAACUGCAUCCGAUACUGGAUGGCUUGAAUCCGGGAGAGGGAUGCAGAAUUCCAGGUGUAGCGGUGAAAUGCGUAGAUAUCUGGAGGAAUACCGGUGGCGAAGGCGGCAUCCUGGACCGGCAUUGACGCUGAGGAGCGAAAGCCAGGGGAGCAAACGGG
rnacentral:rRNA from 1 species